AUUGAACGCUGGCGGCAGGCCUAACACAUGCAAGUCGAGCGGAUGAAGGGAGCUUGCUCCUGGAUUCAGCGGCGGACGGGUGAGUAAUGCCUAGGAAUCUGCCUGGUAGUGGGGGAUAACGUCCGGAAACGGGCGCUAAUACCGCAUACGUCCUGAGGGAGAAAGUGGGGGAUCUUCGGACCUCACGCUAUCAGAUGAGCCUAGGUCGGAUUAGCUAGUUGGUGGGGUAAAGGCCUACCAAGGCGACGAUCCGUAACUGGUCUGAGAGGAUGAUCAGUCACACUGGAACUGAGACACGGUCCAGACUCCUACGGGAGGCAGCAGUGGGGAAUAUUGGACAAAGGGCGAAAGCCUGAUCCAGCCAUGCCGCGUGUGUGAAGAAGGUCUUCGGAUUGGAAAGCACUUUAAGUUGGGAGGAAGGGCAGUAAGUUAAUACCUUGCUGUUUUGACGGUACCAACAGAAUAAGCACCGGCUAACUUCGUG
rnacentral:rRNA from 1 species